GCCGGGUUAGCUCAGGUAGUAGAGCACACGGCUGAAAACCGUGGUGUCCCCAGCGCAAGUCUGGGACCCGGCG
rnacentral:tRNA from 1 species